GUUGCUGAUAUAGUUUUUAAGAAAAAAAAAUCAAUGUUUUUAUUUAGUUAACUAAGUUUAUAAGCUUUUUAACAAAAUAUUUAUAAAUUUUAGGUAAAAUUGCUAUUUUUUAAAUAUUGGAUUUUUUUCUGAAAUUCGUUGAAACUAGUUUGGUUUAUAAAUAUAUCGAUUUAUAUUACAACUGAAAUUGAAUUCGAAGCAUUAAUCACAAGUUUUCAUAUUUUACAAGAUAAUUGUUCAACUGAAAUCGGUUAUAAAUCUGAGUAUUUUUUAUUGGAAACACAUAUUGUCGUGUCCCAUCGCGGCCAUCUUCAAAAUAACCGUCAAAGAAAUCGACGCAUGACUUUUCGCCUCAAAAAUACAAACCAGACUGAAGACUGAAACAUCGAUCGACAUCGAGCUCCUUCGCAGCGAGUACCCAGAUCGAAAGUCCGUAAACCCACGAUGUUUUGUAAGGCAACGAUGUUUUUCGAUCAGUUCGAUGAACUGUAUCUUGCGCGUUAGAGUGACAGAGACGGGAUGAUUUAAUUUUUCGUCGAAGUUUCGGUCGUCAUUCUGUCUCCCUCUUACGCGGUUGCGAAUUUUCGGGAGGAACUGUCAAACGAGUUAUUUUUUCGAUUGGAGAACAUGUUUUGGUGUGUUUUUGCUUUUCUGGUAAGUUUUUUUAUUUAUUCAAAUUUUAUUUAAUUUUUAUAAGAAUCAACAACAUGCCUUAUGUUGUUUUGCCCUUUUCCGCAGAUCUUAGCGUGGAUACAUACGGUGUGGUGGUUUACUUGAAGGAAAAACGCAGGGCACUUCCGGAACUCAUUUUGUCCCAGAACCGAACUAAGCCUUUCCGCUUGACCACCUGGAAGGUGGCGUAGGAGCAGCCGGUUGUAGCGAAACAGGUGCUGCAGGAGCGCAGGCACAACAAUAAAGUCAUGGAAUCCUCUAACCCGGGCUAAUUUUCACUUUCAGGUCAAAUAAUUGGGUCGCCAACUCCAGAAAGCGUAGAAACGGAAGUAGGUUCCUGAGUAGGGCGAUAUGUCCCUCUGUGCCCAAUCCGGAAAACAUUCGCCGAAUCACUUGGGCGGCCGGUUCAACAGACGGAUAAUGUGAGGUUGAAGUGGUUCCGACUAAGUUCACCGAACACCGCGCGCGGUUCAACAUGAUUGUGGCACCGUCAAGAACGACGAGAAGGACACAAACCACGACACAAACCGAUCUGUAAGACCUGGACCAGGUUCGUUUCGAAGUCGCCAAAGCCGGUGGUAGCGGAACUGGUCGCAGAAAUUAGUUUAGUCGAAAUUGAACCGCUGGUGAAGGGGAGCACCGUGAGGCCGAACGAAUCCGUCGAGAUGCGACAAAAUGGUCGAAGUCGGUGACUUGAGCUGGUCAAAUCGAGACAAAUUCAAUAACACGGCGGCUUCGGAGGCCAUGCAGGUCUUCCGUUCUGAAACGGAACAUGACAAUACAGUAUCUUAGAUAAGUUUGUAUUUUGUGUAUUUUGAGAGAACAAGUUCUAAUUAAUUUAAACAAUUAAUCAUAACUGCAUUCUUUUCCUCUCUUCCUUCAGAACACCAGCGACCCCGAGCUUAAUUGCUUGUUCGGAAAUACUCGGACCAGAAUCGGCACCAGCCGGGACUUCUCCGAUGACGGAGUCGGCGAGGCGUGACAGCGGCUUUCAAACAGCAAAAUCAUCUUAAAUUCACUCUGCGAUUUCCUACUUGCAAACCUUCGGUUGAUCAAUCCCGAUCCCAUCGCCGAUUGACUGAAUGUUCCGUCCUCUCCUGGUAACCGCCAACACCAAUUCAACCCUGGUUCAACCAAAUACCUGCACACAUUCAUCAUCAUCCACAACUACCAGCAGAUCGGCACCUUUCCAGGUUGGCCACGCCGGCGGCGGAAAUCGUGGACUGGACGAGACCAAGAUGGAACAAUAGCACUGCCAGCAAAAUAGUCAACCGGUCCAGUAGCAGCAGCAGGGUGACGGCAAGAGCAGUACCAUCCAUGGUUCAUUCACACUCAGCAAAGCGCAAGGAUCAACCAGCGGGCCAGCAGCAGCGUCGAGAAAUGGAUCGUGGCGUCCGGGACGAUCGUGCCAGCGGUGAUAUGGUCCCACAGGAGAUCAUGAAGCGUCACAUUGACUCCGAGGAGGACGAUCGCUUCAGUGCCCGGAGUCGUCCAGCAAGAUGAGUGACUGCGGUGGCCGUACAAUGCCGGAAUUGAAUCAAAGCGUUUUGAGCGACGACAAGAGCCAUUAGAUUUGCUUACAUCCGGAACUUCAGGGCUGUGGAUUCGACGCAGGAGUCUGAUCUUUUUGGCCUUGCAACUGUACCACUUGGAGAUGGCCAGGGGCAGCCGAUGGCAGCGUAACCAGGGCAGCGGGAACUUAGGUCAAACGGGCCGGGGAUGAAAAAAAGGUCACGCGCUGCUGCAGGAGGAACUUGUGGCCAAGGUGUGUACCGAUAUGAUUGCCCUCAAGCAGGACGUCGUGUUAACUGAGAAGGGCGUGUCCGAUCUGUCCGACAUCCGCAAACUUGUCAGUUAGGAAAGAUUCGUUUCGGUUGCAAUGAUGUCGUGCGCUUGAAACCACGCUUCCGGACGUAAAAAGCGCCUGAUCCUGAUAAGCGUGGUACUUCCGUUGUUAAGCUGGUCAUGAAAGAGCUUAAGGAAACGAAGGACCAAAUGUCAUUGCAAAAUGCUGUUUAACCCAGGAAGAUGCGAACAGCAAGAACAGUGCAAGUGCUGCUGCUGGCUGAACCGGUGCCGCCCGUGACGUCGCCUUUUCCAGCUUACGGUCUCUAGCUCGCCCACGGGAAGUGGUUCUGUAGAUGCAUCUGCUGCGGGAGUUACACUGGCGUUUGUAAAUCGACGGAAAGCAAACUCGAGCAAACCAAGAGUGGCAAAUUUAAAUGAAAGAUUCUGAUUCUCUCCCGUUGUGGAUGCUCGGAGUCAUCCGGAAUUCAAACCUAGAACGGCCAUGGUUCUACAAAUGUCCUCGGAACAACGCUGUUCGGAACAGGCUCUAAUGACCCUGCAGUCGCCGGCAGGAACGAAGAAGACAAACCGUCGCUCGCUGGCCAACAUUGUGGAGCACGUGCGCGAGAACAUGGCCACGGCCAUGGUCGGAAUGCCUAAACGCCUAAAAGCGGCCUGCUAUCAAGGCUACGAAAGAGUUCUUGCAGUACUCCAAGUUUUUGGACGCUGACUACUCCGGAGCGCGUCAGCACCAUAAUGGCCAGACUGUGGGCCGGCUCCUUUGCACUUUCACCGGCAGCUCUUUGGUCCCGCAUCAGAGGCAGCAAACGACGAAAAACAACCGGUUGAUACGACCAAAAUUCCGCUCGUGCACGAGUAGCAUGACAUGAAUUUCAAAGAAGACCCGGAACCAGUUACAGAUAAACCGGUGGGCUGCCAACUUGUCAACCUUGGCCAGCGGUAACGACUUUCCUGCCUUGCUUCCGUAGAAUGUCAUGGGAUGACAAUCUCGAGUUCAAAAUGUAUGGUUCUGACAGAUUCUUCUCUUUGCCUCUCAUGACUCUUUAAGCGCGCACCUGCACAAGUGCACCUGCACAUACUUAUCGGACCAUCUCCGGCAGUUACCACUAGCAGUCCCGACCAUGAGCCGAUGGUCGCCUCCGUGGUACAGCCACGCCAUGUUCUGCAGAAGAAAAGUGACCUUCGCGCUUAAGAACCGAAACGAUCGUGUAGCGCUUGGCCAGUAGCGGUGUUUACGCUGUAGACCAUUUUCUGAACACCAUCGUCUAGUGACCGGACCGGACCAACAGCUCCUCAACGCAGUCCCGCUUGGAAGGCUCAUGAACCUUUCAAACAAACCCUGGUUCAAGGUCAUCAAGACCCCACAAGGAUCACGGACUGCUCUGCGAAAAGCGUUCGCGAGGAUAUGGUCACGUCUGCACCCACCACCUGCUGAACUGACUCCAAGGGCAGAGUCCCCCAAAGUUACCCAGCUGGGCGGUUCCGGCUUCGGAAAAUGGUUCCUUGCAGGCGGUCAGCACGUUCGUUAGAUCAGCUGCCAACGAGGCUGUUGUACCGUCAAUGGGAGGUUGCCAAAGUACCGCCGGUGGUACCGGAACCGUUGUUGAAGGAGCACAGUCGGUUGUCGUUCGGUCUCGUCGGAGAUGUUCAGUUGUGUCUUAUAACGGCGCAGAAUCAUUUGAGGCGGGCCAGUUGGACAUAAAACAACAGUUCUACUGAAGACCUGGCGGACCAGACGUUUCAACGCCACCAAGAACAACCUCCGAAUGCAACCACUACCGUUAGGCCACGCGAGGUCUAGAUGGCCGCGCAUGAAAGAGAUUUAAAGAAUAUACCCAGCGAAUUAGAUCAAUCGACCAGGGCACUUCCAUCGGCCGGGAACACCGAAGAAGGCGAUGGCGGUGAACGCCAAUACGGGCCACGCUGCGGACAUAUCACAAGGCGGCGGUAUACCGUACCUGUGAACGUGAACGGAGCGGUCCAGAUACUAAGCUUAAACCGGAACAGUCGUCGCGUGUCAAUUGUAAAUGCAGGAACAAAAGAUGAGCUUCAA